GGGACAGGUGCUGCGCCUCUACCAGGGGUAGGAAGACGGCAGGGUCGGCAACGAACGAGAAGCCGCGGGCAGGCCCUGGAGCGACUCCAUCGGCCGGGCUCACUGUCGGCAGGGUCUGGACCUGGGCGGCAGGUACGGACGCCAGCCCCCGCCCUGCUCGGACUUCGGAAUCGAUCCCUGACCGACGCGCCGCAGCCCGUCUCUCUCCGCGGACGGGAGCCCGGCGGCGGUGUCGGCAGGAUGCGUGCGCUGCCCGGCCCGGACGCACCCCAGAUGGAGCAGCUGCUGCCCGGGCACCCGGACGCGGCGCGGCCAGCGCUCAGGAGCGCGGUGGAGAGGCUGGCGGCCGACCGCGCUAAGUACGUGCGGGCUCUGCCGGGGACGGCUUGGGGCCCGGCCUCCGAGGGCAGCAGCCCCGGGGCGGGCGGAGGACAGGCGGUCGACCCGCGCCCCCCGGCCCGCGCCCCCGGCGCUGUGGCGCGCAGGGCGAUACCGCGGAGGCCACUGAGGCCGGACUCGCUGGUCAUCUACCGGCAGAAGUGCGAGUUCGCGCGCGGGCCGGGCGCCGACGGCCUCCGGGACAGCCUGGCGAGGAAGCGCCUCCCGGGGCCGGGUAAGGACAGGACGCCGACGCCCCCCGAGACGUCCCCGGCGGGAGAGAAGGGCAGGGCCGCGGGCGCGGAGGUGACGCCAACGAAGCCGGGCCCCGCCGCGGCUCCCGUGCGUCCCGCGCGUCCCAGCACCCCGGCCGCUCCCCCAACGACGCUCCCCGCGCGCCCCAGCACCCCGGCCGCUCCCCCGACAACGCUCCCCGCGCGCCCCAGCGUCCCGACGACGCCCCCCGAGCGCCCCAGCGUCCCGGUCGCUCCCCUGAUGCCCCCCGCGCGCCCCAGCGUCCCGGCCUCUCCCCCGACGCUCCCCGCGCGCCCCAGCGUCCCGGUCGCGUCCCCGACGCCCCCCGCGCGCCCCAGCGUCCCGGCCGCUCCCCCGACAACGCUCCCCGCGCGCCCCAGCGUCCCGACGACGCCCCCCGAGCGCCCCAGCGUCCCGGUCGCUCCCCCGACGCCGCCCUCGUGCCCCAGCGUCCGGGCCGCAUCAGGGACCCGCGAGCUGCAGGCGGCCAGGCGCCGGGGUCUGCAGCGCUCGCAGUCCGACCUCAGCUCCCGCUACUCCAAGUCCGCUGCCGAGUUCGACACCUUCUUCCAGUUCUGUGGGCUGGAGCCCGAGGUGGUGGAGGCCCUCGGGCGGGAGAACUUCUCCGCGGGCUCGGACCAGGGCACCCUCAGAGUCCGCAGCGUGAGCGUCGCCACCUCCGAGGGUGGCUUCUCGCGGCGCAGCUGCGGUGACGAGGGGCUGCAGGAGGAGGAGCUGACGGAGCAGGCGCCCAGCGCCCCCUCGGUCGUGGAGAGGAACGCGCGCAUCAUCAAGUGGCUGUACACCUGCAGGAAGGCCACGGAGACGCCAGCGCCACGGUGGCAGGGCCCGCGUGACCACCGCGCUGAGGCCGGGACCCACGGAUCGGCCAGAAAUAUGUAUAUUGGGGUGCGCAGCACUUUGCUAAUUAGUUUAUGUGCCGUGAAAUGAAAAUAGGUGAACAUUGCUGCUCUAGGUCUUCCUGAAGAUGGAAUGCAGUAAAAAGAGUUUUGAAUACUUAGGACAUUAUUUUUCUUUCAGUGUUUCAUCAAUCUUUUGCUUGAAAAUGUUUUUUCUCUGUUUUAAUAAUACCAUCAUUGGAGAAUGAGCACAGAUAACACAGCCAGCACUGUUUGUAACCUUUUGCGUAACUUAACUCAUGACUGAAGUUUGUUCUUGGUGGCUGCCUGGUUUUGAGCUGCUGGGAUUGGGUAUCAAACCCGUCAAUCAGGGUGCUGACUGGGGUGUAGCUUAUGCCCAAACCUAUACAAGCAUCCAAAGACAGGUAUUCUCGAGGAGAAUAAGUAGAUCACUCUAUUUCCAUGAAGACCAUGGUCAAGUCCCGGGUGCUGCAAAGCUCCUGUUUUCCUGUGUGGACCCCAUGGGAGGUGUGGGGGCCCAGGUGUGGCUGAAUGCAGUUGUCUUUUCUGUCUUUGGCUAAAGAAGUUCUUACCUUUUAGUUACCAAUUUGGAAAAUUCAAUAAUAUAAGAAGCAGUGAGGUGAUCUACAGUGGCUUGGUGUGGGAAUUUUGCUUGCAUUUUUUAAAAACAUUUUUUAAAUUGACUUUAGAGAGGAAGGGAGAGAGAGGGAGAGAGAGAAACAUCAAUUAUGAGAAUCAUUGAUUGGCUGCCUCCUACACGCCCACUAUUGGGGAUGGAGCCCGCAACCCAGGCAUGUGCCCUUGGCUGGAAUCGAACCUGGGACCCUUCAGUCCACAGGCCAGUGCUCUAUCCACUGAGCAACACCAGCUAGGGCUGCUUGCAUUUUUUAGUGAUGAAAUAAAUAGACCUACAUUCCAGUUCAGUGUUCCAGGUUAGAAAUAUCAAAUAAGAAGGACAUUGAGUUCAUGGCUAGAAGCUUAAACUCUGGUUGCAGAAGCAGUAGGGAGCCACUGAUGGGCCAGAACACGAAAUUACAGGAUCUCCUCACCCAUCUUGCUGUCCACCUGGUGGUCUUGCAGCAACUGUGACUUCAGUCAAGGACAAGCCUUCACUGCGGAGCUGGGGUCUGCACGGGGCACCAGGCAUCCACAGCUGCCUGCCACGAAGGGUUCAUGUUCUAACAGGAGGAUCAAAUAGUCUGUCAGAAUGGAUGGAUGGAUGGAUGGAUGGAUGGAUGGAGAGAUAAUAAAUUGUCGACAAGGAAAUAGAUGACAGAGAUGAGGGAGGCCAAUCUGUCUGAACCAUAAAUGGAAACCCAAAUCCAAAUUAUUUAAAAGGAAGCAACAUGCAAAUUAUAAAUGGCAUAUUUUUUACUGAGAGGUUUACUUUAAUCCCUAGAGAGCCUUUACCUGGCAGCUUAAAGCUUUGAGGUCUAAAGAGAAUGAAAAGCAGAACAUAUUACAAAUGGGCUUCCGGAUCGGGCCUCCUCUGGUCAGAGGCUGUUGUGAGGGAUCGCCUGCUUUCAGAAGCCCCUUGUCAAACUCAGGGAAAGAGUAAACGAGUAGCAAAUAAGCAGUCAGCCCAGAGCAGGCCAGGCCGGUGCACGGGUCGCGGUUCCCUGAGUGACCCCUGGAGCGACUCUACGACACGCCUGGAGGUGGUGAGGUGCCAAAGAGAGAAUGCCCUUGUGGGCAUGUAUUGGGAUGGGUAGAGACCCACUCAGCAAGGACCACAGAAGGUGAGGCUGGAAGUGAUGUCGGAAAUCAUGUGGCUCCCCCACCAAAGCCCCCAAGUCUUGAGGAGGAAGAACAAAGCUGGAGCAAUAGUUAAUAAAAGGCCAAGAUGUACAUGUUCCAAACACCUCCUUGCUGCCCACACCUAAUCUCAGGGCUACACACCUGUUACUGUGUUAUGGGCGAGAAGACACAUUGAGCCAAUGUCAACACUUCCGUCGGGCGGGCAGGCAGGGGCAGGGCAGCAUAACUCACCCUGUGU